CAGUCGCCGCGGUAAUACGUAAGUGGCAAGCGUUGUCCGGAAUUAUUGGGCGUAAAGGGCUCGCAGGCGGUUUCUUAAGUCUGAUGUGAAAGCCCCCGGCUCAACCGGGGAGGGUCAUUGGAAACUGGGAAACUUGAGUGCAGAAGAGGAGAGUGGAAUUCCACGUGUAGCGGUGAAAUGCGUAGAGAUGUGGAGGAACACCAGUGGCGAAGGCGACUCUCUGGUCUGUAACUGACGCUGAGGAGCGAAAGCGUGGGGAGCGAACAGGAUUAGAUACCCCUGUAGUCCCUGUCUCUUAUAC
rnacentral:rRNA from 1 species